GGUAAGUGUUUGUUGAUUAAUUUAAUUUUUUGUUUGUUUUCAGGUACUGGUGAUUUGGCUUUGGCCAGUUUUGUUGGCCGCAUGUUGGUAUUUGGUACGUCUAGUGUAUAAAUAGGGGUUGCUGCUGUAGGCGAGUAAUUUACAGGUGCAGGCGCAUUAGUUGAACCCAAUGGGGCGGCUGCCAGACGAGAUUUAGCACCAGAAAGUGUAGGAGGGGCUGCAAAAGGUGCUGCUAAAGACUGCAGCUGGCUUUCAGAUAAGUUUAUGGU